rnacentral:rRNA from 1 species
ACGCUCGACACCUACGGGGAGGCAGCAGGUGGGGAAUAUUGCACAAUGGGGGAAACCCUGAUGCAGCGACGCCGCGUGGAGGAAGAAGGUCUUCGGAUUGUAAAACUCCUGUUGUUGGGGAAAAAGAGGAUGGUACCCAACAAGGAAGUGACGGCUAACUACGUGCCAGCAGCCACGGUAAUCUGAGCGGCUGGCAAGGC